AAAGUCGAGGAGUUGGUGUCUGAUACUCUUUUAAUAUUCUUUACUGCGCUUGCUACCGUUGGUCUUUGCAAAUGUUCAUUUGCAUGUCACAGAAAACGAGACCGAGAAUAUUGUACAACUUCUCAACAACGUCAUGGCCUUCGUAUAUUAUUUGGUUUUGACCAAAACCUAACCAUUUUUUCAACUCAAUUGCCAUAAUACUGACAUUUUCUCUCUUUCAUUAAAUUCCUAAAUAAAGAGAGAUCUUUACCCCUGAGAAAAUCAGACACAUCAUAUAUUAUAUGGCAGGUUCAAACAACAGUAGAGUCAUAACUCUUGUGACAACACCAACAUGGGCUAUUGCUGUUGUGUGUUUCAUUUUAAUUACUAUUUCCAUUCUUAUAGAACAUGUCCUUCAUCUCUUAGCUAAGAAGAGGAGGAAGUCUUUGAUUCAAGCACUAAACAAUAUCAAAUCAGAGUUGAUGCUUUUGGGAUUUAUCUCUUUAUUGCUGAAUGUUCUCCAAAAGCCUAUUGCCAAAAUUUGUAUUCCAAAGGGUGCUGCUCAGACUUUUCUUCCUUGCCAAAGCUUCACAACUGAUGAUGUUGAGGAGGAGUCAAACUGUGAACAACAGGGAAAGAAAUCUUUAAUGUCAAGAGCAGCUUCAGCUUUUAAUAUUUGCUCUUGCUUUCUUUCAUAUUCUUUCUUGCAUCCUCACCUUCAGCCUUGGAACACGUAAAAUGGUCAGAUGGAAAUUUUGGGAGGCAGAAACAACAACCUUAGAUUAUCAAUUUUCACAUGAUCCAAGGAGGUUUCAACUAAUUCAUCAAACAUCAUUCGGAAAGAGGCAUCUCAAUUUUUGGAGUGAACACCGCUUUCUACGUUUCCCAGUUUGUUUGUUGAGGCAAUUUUAUGGAUCAGUAUAUAAAGUAGACUACUUAACUCUCCGGCAUGGAUUCAUAAUGGCACAUUUUGCUGAAGGAACAGAGUUUGAUUUUCACAAGUAUAUAAGAAGAGCUUUAGAUAAAGAUUUUCAAGUUGUCGUGGCAAUUAGCCCAUGGAUUUGGACCUUUUCUAUGCUCUUCAUAUUCUUCAAUGCAAAUGUGUUCCAUAGCACCUAUUGGCUUCCUUUCAUUCCUCUAGCGAUGUUAGUGGCUGUUGGAACAAAAUUACAAGGCAUAAUCACAAAAAUGUGUUUGGAUAGCAAUUAUAAGUCAAGUGUUAUUAGAGGAAAUUUAGUGGUUAAACCUGAAGAUCAAUUCUUUUGGUUUGGAAAACCCAAACUUCUUCUUCUUCUCAUGCAUUUCAUCCUCUUUCAGAACUCGUUUCAGUUGGCAUUUUUUGCAUGGACAACGUACAAUUAUGGGUUAAAUUCUUGCUUCCACCAUAAAACAGUAGAUAUUGUGACAAGGCUUGUUAUGGGAGUGCUUGUUCAUUUUCUUUGUGGAUAUGUCAUAUUGCCUUUAUAUGCUCUCCUUACUCAGAUGGGAACCAAAAUUAAAAGUAGUGUUUUGACUGAUGAAAUGAUUAGUAGGCUAAAAAGAUGGCAAGAAAAAGCAAAGAGGAAAUUGGCUAAAAGAAGCAAUUACUUGUUAGCACAAAAUUUAUUAUCUUUAAAUAUUUCACCAUCUUUUGAAACUUCAUUGGAUGUUACAUAUUUAUCAACCGAUACUGAAAAUGAUGGAGAAAUUGUAGAUGAUCAGAGACAAAUUCAGCAACACACAGAAUUUGGAUCUUUUGGUGGAUUUCACUUGAGUAAAUCUAGAGCAGCACAACAUUAGAAUGUUUAUAGUGUUACUUUUUAAAGGUAAAUUUAAAAUUUAAAGUAUAUAUAUAUGUUUAGAAUGAACGCAAUCUUAUUAUUUGUAAACAAUCUAUUAUCAAGCGACAACCAUAAUAGUAUGGAGGGAAAGUGAUCUUAUUAUUUUUAGUAUCUAAUGAUAAAACAUAUAACAUAUAAAAUAUAUUUAUGAUUGAUUAGAUUCCUCGCAAGUGAAUUUGGACUACAUAUCACUUAAUUUUUUUUUUAUGGGUCGAACUGAGUUGAACUUAUAAAAUGAGCUUUUAUUAAUAAAUAGGUAGGUAAAUAACUCAUCCAAACGUGAAUGUUUUGAGUUUGAUGUUGUCGUCCCUAAUUUCAGUUUAUCUGAAACACUUUUCUUAUUAGUAUGUUUUAAAACGAAUGACAUUUUUUUUAAUUAUUAAGAACAAUUAACUUUAGAAUUUUCCUUUUAAUGAAAUGAUUUUUAUAGAAAUAAUGAAGCUAAUAUGUUAGAUCAUUAUUUAUCAUUAUUAUUAUAAUCUUGGUAGUUAAUCAAAUAAUGACAGAGAAAAUAUAUUGAGUUACACUAACUUCUUAUACAUAGUAUAUAAUCAUUGUUGAAAGGUAAUUUUAAACAUAAUUUAGAAUGAAAAAUAGAUGACUGAAUUUUAAUCGUAGUGUGUUUUUCGCGUAUAGGCUCGGACUGGUAUAAAAAUUCAUAUUAAAAUCAAACCAUAAGAACCAAAUUAAUUAUAUUUACGUAUAAGGAUAUCAAAUUACUUAAUUCAAAAAAAAA